UAAGAUUUACCCUUUUUCAAUUAAGCGCAAUUACGCUAAUUGUUAUUACGCGACCAAUCAUGCGCUUCCAUCCGUGAAUUCCGUAUAUAUACCUUUAUGCUUCUACGUCAGAUCACAGUUUCAGCGCAAAAACGGUCUUCAGCCUGUACGAUAAACGUGGACAGCAGACUCGGACACUUGGAGUUGUCGUCCCGGACAUCCCGCGUUUGAGAAGCACGUGUCGCAAAGUGUUGCCGGAAACAGCUUUCUGAAAAUAUUCUGAUAUCGGUAAUUGCAGAGCUCUGUUACUUGACGUAUUUUAGCGAAUGGUGCUAGACUUUUGGAGUAAAUUAUAAAAUUUAAUAAUUUCACAUUAAACAGCAAUAUAAAUGUAAUAAUAGUUAAAUAUGUGUCGAUAAUGAAUGCAGUUGAAAAUGCAAUACAUUGAAAUCAAUAAACAUACAUAUCAUACUUAUAAA